rnacentral:rRNA from 1 species
AGCAGCCGCGAUAAUUACAGCUCCAAUAGCGUAUAUUAAAGUUGUUGCAGUUAAAAAGCUCGUAGUUGAAUUUCGGGAUCAGUACGCUGGUCAUGCCUUUGGUAUGCACUGGUGUCACUGGUUUCUCCCUUCUGAAGAACCGUGAUGUCAUUAAUUUGGUGUCGCGGGGAAUCAGGACUGUUACUUUGAAAAAUUAGAGUGUUUAAAGCAGGCUCACGCUUGAAUACAUUAGCAUGGAAUAAUGAAAUAGGACGUUUGACCCUAUUUUGUUGGUUUCUAGGAUCGACGUAAUGAUUAAUAGGGAUAGUUGGGGGCAUUAGUAUUCAAUUGUCAGAGGUGAAAUUCUUGGAUUUAUUGAAGACUAACUACUGCGAAAGCAUUUGCCAAGGAUGUUUUCAUUAAUCAAGAACGAAAGUUAGGGGAUCGAAGACGAUCAGAUACCGUCGUAGU